CCUACGGGAGGCAGCAGUGGGGAAUAUUGGGCAAUGGAGGCAACUCUGACCCAGCAACGCCGCGUGAAUGAUGAAGGUCUUCGGAUUGUAAAGUUCUUUUCUAAGGGAAGAAGAAAGUGACGGUACCUUAGGAAUAAGCCUCGGCUAACUACGUGCCAGCAGCCGCGGUAAUACGUAGGAGGCAAGCGUUAUCCGGAAUGACUGGGCGUAAAGGGUGCGUAGGUGGUUUGACAAGUCAGAUGUGAAAUCCCGUGGCUCAACCACGGAACUGCAUUUGAAACUGUCGGUCUUGAGUAUCGGAGAGGCAGGCGGAAUUCCUAGUGUAGCGGUGAAAUGCGUAGAUAUUAGGAGGAACACCAGUGGCGAAGGCGGCCUGCUGGACGACAACUGACGGUGAGGCGCGAAAGCGUGGGGAGCAAACAGGAUUAGAUACCCGAGUAGUC
rnacentral:rRNA from 1 species